rnacentral:rRNA from 1 species
UGCAGUCGAACGCUUCUUUCCUCCCGAUUGCUUGCACUCAAUUGGAAGAGGAGUGGCGGACGGGUGAGUAGACGUGGGUAACCUACCCAUCAGAGGGGGAUAACACUUGGAAACAGGCGCUAAUACCGCAUAACAGUUUAUGCCGCAUGGCAUAAGAGUGAAAGGCGCUUUCGGGUGUCGCUGAUGGAUGGACCCGCGGUGCAUUAGCUACUUGGUGAGGUAACGGCUCACCUGGGCCACGAUGCAUACCCGACCUGAUAGGAUGAUCGGCCACACUGGAACUGAAACACGGCCCACACUCCUACGGUAUGCACCAUGAGGGAAUCUUCGGCCAUGGACUACCGUCUGACCGAUCAACGCCUCCUGAUUGAAAAAGGUUUUCGGAUCAUAAAACUCUGUUGUUCCAAAAAAACAAGGAUGUUAGUAACUGAACGUCCCCUGACGGCAUCUAACCACAAAGCCACGGCUAACUACGUGCCAGCAGCCGCGGUAAUACGUAGGUGGCCUGCGUUGUCCGGAUUUAUUGGGCGUAAAGCGAGCGCAGGCGGUUUCUUAAGUCUGAUGUGAUGGCCCCCGGCUCAACCGGGGAGGGUCAUUGGAUACUGGAAGACUUGAGUGCUCAACAUGAGAGUGUAAUUCCAUGUGUAAUGUUGAAAUGCAUAGAUAUAUGG